AAUAAGUGAAAAUUCCUUCCCCUUUCCCUUUUUUAUAAAAAAAGGGGGCCGUAAUUGACUGUGCGAAGGUAGCAUAAUUAAUUGCCUUUUAAUUGGAGGCUUGUUUGAAUGGUUUGACGGAGUAAUUUUGAAUAUUUGAUUUGUUGUUGAAAUUAAUGGGCGGGAUUCAGAAUUCCGCUGGGUUAAUAAGACGGAAAGACCCCGGGAUCUUUAGUUUUGCCUGGGGCAGGUGUUGAUUUUUUAUCAAUAUUGUGUUCCUUGAUUUGGGUUAAUGGUUUAAGUUACCCCGGGGAUAACAGUGUGAUAAUUGAGUAGAGAUCUUAUCGAAUCAGUUGUUUGCCACCUCGAUGUUGACUUAGGUAUGGUUUGGGCGCAAUAGCUUGAAUCUUAGGUCUGUUCGACCUUGAAACCUCCAUGAGUUGAGUUAAGACCGGCGUGAGCCAGGUCGGUUCUUAUCUAUUUUUGUAGCUUAUUAGUACGAAAGGACCAUAAGCUUUUUUAUUAAGUAUGUAGCGUGAGUGCCUUAGUUUUGCAAAAGCUGAUGAGAAAUAGAUUGAUGUUUCCAUACUUUGUAUGUUUAACUAUGGCAGUAGAAAGUAUUUGCUAUAUUAGUUGCAUAAAAAUUUUUUGUACUGUUUAAUUUAAGUUAUAAUUUGGUUUAUUAGCAGUUAGUUUUUUAUUGGGGUGUGAGCCUUUUAAGAAUGUAGCAUGUAAAGGGGAGAGGACACAGUGCCAGCAUCUGCGGUUAGUCUGUUUUCUUUGCUUUUUUGUGGACGAUGAUUAGAUAUUUAUAGAUGAGUUUAGGUGAAAUUUAUUUAUUUGUAUAUUUGGUAUCUAAUUUAUGAUAAAUAAUGGUUAGUGACAGGGAUUAGAUACCCCAUUAAUUAGUUAUGUUACUUUGUCUUAGUUUUAACUAAAAUAGUUUGGCAGUGAAUGAAUCUUAUCGGGGGAAGGUGGUUAAAAAAGGGACAAUAAAAUUUUUCGGCC
rnacentral:rRNA from 1 species